UUAUCGACAAUCAUCCGCGUUGGGUAGCUUCCGGCUAGUAGUCGGAGCGUCACCCGUGCGGUGUAUUCGGCGAGCUAUGGUCGCGUUUCCACGACCAUACCUUGCUCAGGCUUUGCCAUGUAUUGCUCGCAAUCAUUUGCUCCAUGCGAGGCGAUGAUGGCCGUCAAGUGUUGCUCUCAGGUGCGGCUCCGAGCGCGUGUUAUUGCUGAUUGUAGUGGUGGUGAUAUGGUUUGGAUGGCUAGUGAUGAGAGCGAUGCGGGGUGGCUAUCAGUUUGU
rnacentral:misc_RNA from 1 species